AGCACAAACCCGGCUUGAAUGCCCUCUCAAGGCGGUAGCGCGGGUUCGAAUCCCGUCGGGGCUA
rnacentral:tRNA from 1 species